CAAUUCUGGAUUUUCGGGCCUCCUCCUCCUCGUUCUUCUUCUUCUUUUUGUGCUAAACCCGAGGCGGGCGCCUUCUCUUGUCCGAGGAAGUGAUCUGCGCACUGUAGAAAUACGAUCCGACGACGGGGUAGAAUCGCUCGCGUUCGAAGCUCGACCACUGCGUCGCCGCUCUCCGAAACCCACCACCGAUCACCUUCUUCCUCUCGCUUCCAUUCCGCGGUUAAGAGUUGCUCUUCUUCUCCAGGUCCUUCCGCGAGCCGAGCUGGGUGCACUGUGAGUAGAUUCUCUCCGCGUUGAUGUUCUUCGACUCCGCGUGCGGAUGUUUCUCGCUGUACGCUUGGUGACUGGCCCUUUCGUUUCCCGUUCUCUCCCGAGUUUUGGGUUGCUGCUACGCUUUCAUUGGGAAGAAAUAGAGCCGGUGCUUCGCGCUUAUGUGGUUGAUCUAGGGCAUUUGCAAGAUGUUUCUUUUUAAAAAAAAUUUGUGUUUUUGGUUCGUGGGUCGAAGUUCGUCGCUUUCUUUGCCCUUUCUUCCGUUUUAGGGGAACCCAUAAGCCAUGUCGUGUCUCCGGGGCGGCGGCUUUUUGGGCGGGUGAUGCUCUGCUUUUUUGUUCUGAUUCUGGGUUUGAAAGGGCUCGAAUUUGAUCGUGUCGUGAUGGGGAUUAAUUCAUUCGUAGCCGCAUCCGUUCCUUCAUUUUAUUCUCUCGGAUGCUUUUCGUGUCCGUUGGCAUUAAUCAGGUAUUCUGACAAAUGUGGACACCCCAUGUUUUAGAAAGGGGAAAAGAAACGCAAUCUAGCUAUAUAUUUUACGAGCUCUUUAGGCAGGUGAAACUCUGCUUUGUGGGAUUGUGUCGAGACAGGACGCAAAUUUGGUAUUUUCAUAAUCCGAAAUGAUUUGGUCGUUGCAGCAUGUGUUCCCUUAUGCGGUUCUAUGUGAUGAUGAUUUGGUACAAAGUCCAGUGUCUGAUGACAAGGGAUGAGUAUAGUUCCAAGGUAAAACCAAGAACCGGAUAAUUGGUCCAAUUCCAGGUUCUAGGGAGAGAUGUUCUAGUUCCCGCUUCCACUUUUUAAGGAACUGGAACCGCGAAGGGAAUUGGACCGACUCACUUUGUUUUCUGCGGUGUGUUUCCUUUCCACUUCUCAUCUUUGUCUUUCUUUUCUGUGACGCUAAGCCCUUCCAUGACGCUGCAUCUCAUCUCUAUCUUUCUUCUCCGACUCACUUUGUUUCCCUUCUUAAUGGUCGCUGAGCCCUUCGUUUGCUGUCACUGCCGCUGGCCUCAGCUCAGACCCGAGGAGUUUGGUGAAAUCCUCCUCCCCCCCCCCCCCUUCUCUAGCUGUUGAAAUUUGCGCACAUGUUGUUUUGGGUUUGUGAUUGCGAUGUUGGAUUUUAGUUCUAAGCUACUCCUGGUCUACUGCCAACACAAUUGUCGUUGGGUUUGGUGUUGGUUGAUUCCAUAGCCUACUCUUGGUUGGAGUUUUUUGAGAUCUAUAAAUUGGGUGAAGUUUCAUUGUCCUAAAUCAAAAGUAUUUGAAUCACUGUUAUAAAAUAUCUGAUUGUGACAUUAUCCUAAUCGCGAUAACCAGAGUCCCUUUAGGGAUUUUGAUGCUUGAUUUCUGUACUUGGCCAAUAUUGGAUAUGUUAUCGAAUUCUGAGCUUUUUUUUUUUUUUAGCACUCUAAUUUGACAAUUAAUUGCAACUAAGGUAUGGUAAUGGCUAUUCUGUUCUCAUGUUGUUUGCUUAUUUCUUUUUUUUCCUUAGUGCCAUAAUGACCCUGUGACAAUGUUAUGUAAUGCAACUCUCAUAAAUGAGAAACAAAGUGUAUGAAGGUACUUCACGUGCUUAAUUACAUUUAGGGUGACCUAAUGAAAAUGAUGUGUUUGAUCAGUAAAUGUAUCUUUGUGUGAUCCAAUUUUUAAAACAUUGUCUCAUGUUAGCAUUAUCCAUCUCUAAGACAAGCGUUGCCAUCUUAAAAGUUGUCGGGACUCAUAGCGACUAUGCAUCUUUUGGGGAUUGAUUUUUGGUGAUUUGGAUCUCGAGCUAAGUGCUACACUUGAAGUAUUAGAUUCAAGAGCUAAAUGCUACUUGGGCUUGAAAUUUGUUGUGCUAUUUUGUUAAUGUUUGACUUUAUUUUGAAAUUUCUGGUUACAUUCUAUUAUUUCUGUGUAUGUGUGAAGUUAAUAUACCAAGAUAACAUGUCAAUGGAGGAGGAGAGAUGUGAGGAGAUGACUCCAAUCACCGAAUUGGAAUUGUCGGGCAAUGAAAGUGAAGAAGAGCCAUCCUCAACCAUGAGUGUGAUAACCAAGGUACUUGAUUCUCGUUUUCCUCCCUGUGGUAAGAAAUAUACAUUCGAUUGUUGGAAUCAAGAAUCAAAGAUGAGAAUGGAAAAGCAUAUUAGGUGAAGUGCAUUCAUUAUAGGUGUGUAUAAGUGCCGUGCUGUUAACGGUACUUUUACAAUGAGAAAACACUUAACAGCAUGUAAAAAGUUUCCUCAAAUGUAAAUAAGAGUUAAAAAUUCUUUGCACUACAUAAUAUAGAUGUGACUGGUAGGACAGGGGUUUUAGUAUUGAUAGUGUCUUAUCAAUAGAAACAUUUAAUCAAUAAUGUUUUAGGCAUAUGCUUGAUUGGUUCAUCAUCGUUGAUGAACAACCUUUUUUCUUAGUUGAGCAUAUUAUAUUGCAUGAGUUUGUCACUGAGUUACAACCUCUCUUCAAACAUAUUUCAUAUUUUAUAGUGACUAGAGAUUGCAUGAAGUUGUAUUUCUAUAAAAGAACUUGUUUGAAGACUUACUUUUUAUAAACUUAAUUUUAGGAUUACACUCAUAACUAAUACAUAAAGCUUUAUUCAAAACCUGAAUUAUUUGUUUUACUGUAUAUUUUAUUGAUGAAAAUUGGAAGUUACAUAAAAGAAUUAUCAAUUUUGUGAUAAUGCAUAGUUAUAGAUGUAGGGAGAUUAGGAAAAUGGUGAAGAAAUGCAUUUACAAAUGAAGAAUAGAAAAAAAGGACCACAAUCAACAUGGAUAAUACUAGUUCAAAUUAUAUUGCUAUUAGUUAUUUAAAGGAAAAACUUUCAAGAGAAGGUUGUUGAUCUAAAAUGGUACUCUUUUACACGAGGUGCACCGCUUAGUUGAACUUGAUUGUGAAAGAUGACUUGAUUAUGGUACACGAAUCUAUUGCACAUAUUCGAAACGUGAUUAGGUAUGUAAGCAAAUCUCUCAUGAGAGUCAACAUUUCGAUCUUUUAUUGAGAGUGAAAAGGUCGUUUACAAGGGUUUGGUUAUUCUUGAUGUCAUCACUAAAUGAGACUCCACUUACUUUUUGUUAGAUACGACGAUAAAGUUUAGAAAAGCUUUUGAAAAAUGGAAGAAGAUGAUUUAUAUUUUGUAAUUGAGCUUAACCAUGAUCUUCCUAAAGAUGAUAAUUGGGAAAAUAUGAUUAUUCCUUUAGAAUUUCCAAAAAUUUUCUAUAAUGCCACCAAUUAAAUGUUUGAGAGUUUAUACGGUGCUUCAAAUUAUUAUUUUGAGAUAUAGCUCUUUUGUAAAAAUAUUUCAAAUAUGCAUUGGAUGCUUUGAAUUCUAAACUUCAAGCUAUGGGUACGAAAAUGAAAGGGAAAUUUGACAAAUGUUUUGAGAGUUUGGAUAAAGUGAAUAUGAUGUUGGUGAUUGUAGAUGCGUUGGAUCCUACAAAAAAGUUGCAUUGUGUAAAUCAUUUGUAUGGAAAAAUUUCUGAUGAUGAAUCGAAAAUUAAUGAGAUACAUUAUUAAGGUGAAAGGCACAUUCAUUUGCAUGAAUCUUAUGAGCAAUCUUCUCUUGCUUCGAGUGAUUGAAAUUUUAGUGUCCAAAGUUUGAAUGCUAGUAGCAAUGGUUCUAAAGCCAAUGCUGAUGGUAAUGAAUGUAGCAAGAAGUAUGACAUCCAAGCUUGGUGAAAAACCUUUAUGCACUCUAACCAAAAAGUGUGUGAUGACAACAAAUCUAAGCUUGAUCAGUAUCUCUAAAAUAAAAAUGAAAAUAAUUUUGAUCUUGACCUUUAGAUUUGGUGGAAGACUAGUGGCUUAAAAUAAAAUCCUAUCUUUGAUGCUUGGGAUAUUUUUUCUAUUCUUGUAAUUACUAUUGCUUUAGAGUUGACUUUUAAUUUAUCGAGUUGUAUGCUUGAAUUCUUUCAAAGCCCAAGGUAGUGGAAGUUAUGAUUUGCACUCAAAGAGUGGUUGAGAGCCGUUCUUGUGCUGGUUAAUGUUGAUGACCACAUGGAGAAUGCAGUGGUUUGAGAUGGCACCUCAGACUGGAAGGUCAGCUGCAGCUCAAGGAAAUUCCCAUGCAUCACGAGAUGCAUUCAGUCAACAAUACUGUUAGACACGAGCAGGGUGGCGGCAGCUAGCUGGGGCCAGACCUGUGCAGACUGCAAAUCAAAGGGAUGUAUCUCAGGAGAUACAACAACAGUGUGCUGGUAUUCAAGCUCAGUGCAGGUGGCAAGAGCAUCGUAAUAACUUCGCAAAACUAAAUCCACCGACUUUUUUUGGGGGUGCCAACCACUCAGAGGCUGUGGCUUGGUUAAUUAAAAUGAACUUUUCAAUGUAUUUGGAUGCUCUGAUGAAGAGAGUGAAUCAUGCCACCUAUAGGUUGAGCGGGACUGCCAUCAUCUGGUGGCAGCUUGAGAAAAGUAAGUGCAAACAGGGCACAGAGCCAUGUACUUGGGAUAGCUUUGAAAAUGCUUUCUGUGCACAGUACAUCCCAAACAGUGUUCAAAUGGCGGAAGAUCUCAUCAACCUGAAGCAGAAGAAAUUGACUGUAUUCAGUAUGAAGCUCAAUUUAGUAAACUGGCGAGGUUUGUGCCACCAUGGGUGGACAGUGAUGAGGUCCUUGCUCAAAGUUUUUAAGGGGGAUUGAGGCCUCAAAUUAAGGCAUUGGUGAUGCUGUUCAAACUGAAGGUGUAUAGGGAUAUUAUGAGAAAAGCUUCUUUAGUUGAGAAAUGCCUCCAUGAGGUAGAAGGGGAUGGGGAUGAUGUGCAAAAGAAGAGGCAUGCCAUCGAGGUACCCCAGCGAGAACAGGAUUCAUAUAAUCCAGAGGGCAGUGACUCAAAGUACUUGCACCUUCAUAUGGAAAGAGACUUAAUCAAUCAGAAACAAAAUAACUUGACAGUGGCAGAAUAUGAGGUACAGUUUCAUAGACUAGCAACUUUUGUUCCUUCCCUGUUGGCAGAUGAGGUGAUUUGUGCAUUUAGAUUUGAGGAGGGAUUGAAGCCUCAGAUCAUACUUGCAGUGGCCCCAUUUGAGCUGAAAACUUUCAGUGCUGUGGUGAGUAAGGCUGAGAUGGUAGAGUUCUCAAGGAGGAAGGUGGACAGGGUCAGAUUUGAAUAUGCUUGAUCCGGAGUUCCUUCACCCUUUUUUUGCCUCAUCAAUCAGGACUUGGGAUGCUCGUGCCAUAAAGUAAUGUAUAGGGCGCUAGGGACAUUGUGAAUAGCAUGGAUCUUCUUUUCUCUUUCAUUUUUGCCUUGUUAUUAGGACUCAUCCUAAAGAACGUGGAUGGUCUGUUUUGUAAGGUUCAUGAGAACUAGUGGGAAGACAACAAAGAGCUCCUGGAUGGCGAUUAGCUUUUUUGAGUUAUUUUUGUUCACUUCCAAGAGGAGCUUUCCAUUUGGGACAACCACUGCCAUAAAUUGAGCAUUUGGCUGUAAUUUUGAUGAGUGUAAGCAUUUGUCUUUUUACAACAAUUGCCCUGUAUUAUGCUCAGAGUUCAUCGUAGCUAGAGGUUAUGCAGUUGAAA